UUGGUGAGUGGGUGUUGGCGCGUUUGGGCAUGUUGGAUCCCUGCUCCGGGCAGCSACAACGUAUCCUCCGCGCCUCUUCAGUUGUUGGCUAGAGCACGUGCUCUUCCGAUUUUCGGUUUUCCUGUGCUGAAUACCUAUCACGAAGGCAUUCUGUCGGCUAAAAAUGUCCCUUUCCCGCCUUGCGCUGCGAGCUCCUCGUGAACAAGCGGUGCGGGGUGGGCCAUAUCGUGCACGUCGUGUAUCGCACCGCGUUCGACCCUCCGGGGCGUUCGGGUUGACGACCCACGACGUGAUGCUCGAUAUCUCGGAUACGGAACAUCACGUGGGUACGAGGCCAUCGGCCUCCGAGCACCACAAAAAAGCGUUCUACGCUUCGUGCGAACGACCGUCGUUCCCGGCCUUGCGCCGCGCUCUCGUAGCUCGGUUCAAGUCGGGCCGACGUCGGUGAGGAAUGCUACCUGGUGGGAUCCUGCCA
rnacentral:misc_RNA from 1 species